rnacentral:rRNA from 1 species
UACGUAGGGGGCAAGCGUUGUCCGGAUUUAUUGGGCGUAAAGAGCGUGUAGGCGGCCUGACAGGUCUGCUGUGAAAACUCGAGGCUCAACCUCGAGAUGUCGGCGGAAACCGUCUGGCUAGAGUCCGGAAGAGGAGAGUGGAAUUCCUGGGGUAGCGGUGAAAUGCGCAGAUAUCAGGAAGAACACCUAUGGCGAAGGCAGCUCUCUGGGACGGUACUGACGCUGAGACGCGAAAGCGUGGGGAGCGAACAGG